UCUAGGGGAAACAAAAUGAACAAAAUUCAUUUUUAAUAAAUGUUUCCGACGAAUAGCCGCCGACCAAAGGGCGGGGGCAAUACAUAUU
rnacentral:sRNA from 1 species